UAGUCCCACUCUUAGAAGCGCUGGCUGCCAGUCGUCAGUUCCCAGCCUAGAGAACCAUCGACGUUCUUUUCGUCCUUACAUACUCCGGUCUUCCCGAACGCGAGCUGCAGUCUUUAGGCGCUGGAAUGAGUCGGUUGAGCACGAGCUAUCUUCAGCUGCCUCCCGCGAAUCCUAGCUUUUUUCGUCGACACUAGCAGGUUCAUAUCAUCUUCGCCUAAAGUAACUCCCCCUCUCUGACCCUCUCACUUUCACUCGAUCGUUGAGCGGCUCUCUUACAUUUCCUGGCGCCCUUUUUCGUAGACCGUUUUCCCUGGGUGCUUCCGCCCAUCCCCUUUGCCCAAACCCGAAGCCCCGAGAGCUUCAUAGAUCCAGCUGACUCAGAUCGCCCCUUCAGCUUCUCUUGGCUACUACAGUUACCUAACGUUCCACUUCCACUAUUCCUGCUCGUGGUGAUCCCCUUGGGACGCGUCGUCAACCAGAUGAUCGUUUCGUAUAAUCAACAAGCAGACCAGAUCGCCAGCGAUCGACCCUCUACAGAUACACUAGAUAGACGCCGGCGAAAUAUCUCGUCUUUGUGUAUAUGAAAGGAAGAGCAAAGCUCGACGUGCUGCACCUCGCAACAGGUAAAUGUGAUUGGACGACAGCGGAAAAAUCGACCAGUCUUAUGUCAUUGUGCUAGAUUGUGUCCGGCUGUGCCCAUGUAUUGUGUAAAAGUAUUUACUUUAGUCAACGUGGAAUUGGAUGGCGUACAUUAAUAAGAGCUCUAGGUAACGGCAAGUACCAAAAAUUCGUUAGGCCUUAAUUUAUCGCUCGGUUCAUGACUCUUUUUUUGAUUCACGGGAAGCUAACUUGCCUGCGAGACGACAUCGAGUUUUCAUUGCUCACUACAACCAUCAGAUUUUUGUGCCGCUUUUCUUCCUAAUUUCUCAUAACACUUUUUAGAUCAUAGGUUAACCUUAUUUGAUUUACAGGUUUGAUAUUUUUGUACCAUACGCUAUUGGGCAAGUUACGUGUCGCUUAAGCAUUAUUUGAUCCUUUUUACAAAUUCACAAAUUUACAUAACCAUGCAUACAAGCAGAACCACACCUAGACCCACAUUAAUAAAUUCCACAAUUAGCUUGUUUGUAUCGUCGACUAGCGAUACAAUACGACAUAACCGACACAAGUCCUUGAAAGGCAAGAACCGUGACGGUUCAGAAUAUGUGUUCCUUCAACGGUACUAGCGACAUUUCCCCUUACUCAAAGCUCCUUCACAAAGGUCCUAUGCCGGGAUAGGUUCUUGAUUAUUUCCAAAUCCACCGCCUUUCACCUCCCUCUACAAUCCUAAGCAGACAUUCUGCUCGGUCACCGUUCUCGGCCCGCUAUGAGUCGCCAAGCCACCCUGGCUUGCUAGAAGAAUAUUUUUCAAUCUUACUUUGCUUAGUCACGCCGACCUUUCCGCUUGUCUCCCUUGUCCAAGUCUCCUCGCAGCUUUGAGCGUUUAUUCUCAGGGUUGAUUCGGCCGCCUCGCGUUGUCCCGCUUCGCUGAGCCCUUAAUCCAUGCAAAUGUUUCGAGGUCCUUCGCAAACCCCACCCGAAACCAGUUCCCCUCAGAACAUCGUGUCGACUCCGAGGACAUCUCGACUGCCAGACCACGACGCGGUAUGCAGUGCGAACGAUUCCUUUACGGAACUCAAGCGUUGAUCUUCGUUCGCUAACGCGGGUUAGCCGAACAAAGUGGGAUUUCAGGAUCGCCGCUGUCUUUCCUCUGCUGUUCCUGGCUAAAGAAGCAGCACCUGUUUAUGCUGUCCCUGCUUGCCUAGCAGAAUACGCAACAGCUGCUGAGCAUUUCCGUUCGGUGUGACCCUGCAGUGGUCGCUGCGUGAAGGGGAUCGGUCGGGGACGAAUUACCGGCGAGUGGGGCUUUUCAUCGAAUAGAAGGAAAGCAAAUGAGUAAGAGGGUAUCUUCAUGACGUUGCAGACUGGCGGAAAGUCCUACCCAACCGCUUUAUAAACUGCCAUUUCGAUGUCACAGAUAAUGAACUUUCUGGCGGACCUUCAGCAUUAAGUGGUUUCCUGUAAAGACGUGCUUUAAUCGGUGAACUUAUUAAGUGACACGUAGCACUGAAGUUAGUUGGCAGGAACAGUCAUACCUUCCUUCAAAUUGAAGACAAAACCUUUUGGAGACUAGCCUUGUAAUGGAUGGGUUGUGGCAAAUGUAAAAUGAUAACAUUGGGUCGGAUUUCCAUGACAAAAUAAAGUCGUAUUUGCUCUCCUAUUAAUACAUGAA